UGCAGUCGAGCGGAAACGACACUAACAAUCCUUCGGGUGCGUUAAUGGACGUCGAGCGGCGGACGGGUGAGUAAUGCCUAGGAAAUUGCCUUGAUGUGGGGGAUAACCAUUGGAAACGAUGGCUAAUACCGCAUAAUGCCUACGGGCCAAAGAGGGGGACCUUCGGGCCUCUCGCGUCAAGAUACGCCUAGGUGGGAUUAGCUAGUUGGUGAGGUAAUGGCUCACCAAGGCGACGAUCCCUAGCUGGUCUGAGAGGAUGAUCAGCCACACUGGAACUGAGACACGGUCCAGAUUCCUACGGGAGGCAGCAGUGGGGAAUAUUGCACAAUGGGCGAAAGCCUGAUGCAGCCAUGCCGCGUGUAUGAAGAAGGCCUUCGGGUUGUAAAGUACUUUCAGUUGUGAGGAAGGGGGUAGUGUUAAUAGCGCUAUCUCUUGACGUUAGCAACAGAAGAAGCACCGGCUAACUCCGUGCCAGCAGCCGCGGUAAUACGGAGGGUGCGAGCGUUAAUCGGAAUUACUGGGCGUAAAGCGCAUGCAGGUGGUUCAUUAAGUCAGAUGUGAAAGCCCGGGGCUCAACCUCGGAACUGCAUUUGAAACUGGUGAACUAGAGUACUGUAGAGGGGGGUAGAAUUUCAGGUGUAGCGGUGAAAUGCGUAGAGAU
rnacentral:rRNA from 1 species